CCCUGAAUGGUGUGAGCAUUGACAGGAUCGACAGCUCCACGCUUGGUUUCAGCUUGGACCGAACCAGCAGCAAUGGCUUUUCAUCCUACCUGAUUCACUGUGUUUAAAGAGAUGUGUGCCUGUGACCCGAACCUGUGUCUCAUAUGCAAGAGGGAUCCAGGAUAACCUGCACCUUAUUGUAUGGGAUUAUUGGAUUCUGUAUUAAAACACUGUUGCAUGGGGCUCCUAAGUAGCUCAAC
rnacentral:lncRNA from 1 species